UGGCCUACGGGACGCAGCAGUGGGGAAUAUUGGGCAAUGGGCGCAAGCCUGACCCAGCAACGCCGCGUGAAGGAAGAAGGCUUUCGGGUUGUAAACUUCUUUUAUCAGGGACGAAGCAAGUGACGGUACCUGAUGAAUAAGCCACGGCUAACUACGUGCCAGCAGCCGCGGUAAUACGUAGGUGGCAAGCGUUAUCCGGAUUUACUGGGUGUAAAGGGAGCGUAGACGGCAUUGCAAGUCUGAUGUGAAAGAUUGGGGCUCAACCACAGGCCUGCAUUGGAAACUGUAAAGCUGGAGUACAGGAG
rnacentral:rRNA from 1 species